CCUACGGGUGGCAGCAGUGAGGAAUAUUGGUCAAUGGACGAGAGUCUGAACCAGCCAAGUAGCGUGAAGGAUGACUGCCCUAUGGGUUGUAAACUUCUUUUAUAUGGGAAUAAAACGUUCCACGUGUGGGAUUUUGUAUGUACCAUAUGAAUAAGGAUCGGCGAACUCCGGGCCAGCAGCCGCGGUAAUACGGAGGAUCCGAGCGUUAUCCGGAUUUAUUGGGUUUAAAGGGAGCGUAGGUGGAUUGUUAAGUCAGUUGUGAAAGUUUGCGGCUCAACCGUAAAAUUGCAGUUGAAACUGGCAGUCUUGAGUACAGUAGAGGUGGGCGGAAUUCGUGGUGUAGCGGUGAAAGGCUUAGAUAUCACGAAGAACUCCGAUUGCGAAGGCAGCUCACUGGACUGCAACUGACACUGAGGCUCGAAAGUGUGGGUAUCAAACAGGAUUAGAUACCCGAGUAGUC
rnacentral:rRNA from 1 species